ACUGCAGAGUCCAGACCAGUCUAACCCUAAUUACCCUUCUCCCGUCUCCUUCCAUAACAUCCAUCAGCCGCCGCCGCCACUCCACCUUCCCUCCUCGCAUCGCUUCAUGUUGCCGCUGGCGGCGCCGGCGCUGAACCACCCUGCGCCAGGCCCCUCCCAUCUAUCCCGCAACGGAUCCCUCCCCCCACUCCAUGACUUUUUCCAUUCAGAUCGCGCCCUCAAGCUUCGGCGGCCCACUCCUGCCUCUCGAGGUGACGUGGCAGCGGUCGCGGCAGGACCGACUACCGGGUUUGGAACCCCUCGAGGUCGCCGGCGACGCGCACAGAUCCAGAUCCAUCCGGUGGCGAGCCAACAUGAGUCAGUCUCGUGGGGAUUGUCAGCGGCAACACGGAGCUGAACACGAAUGUGCCCUUCACGCUGGACGAUGGCAUCAGCAGCAUCAAUUUCAUUAGAUGGUGCUAAAUUGUUCUUCUCUGGGGAAUUGGUGCAAAAUCUAUACCAAAACAAUUUCAAGUCCAGGACUGGAGCCUAUUGAUACUUUAAGGACAUCGGCAUCAUGCCGGUGCAAGGUAAGCACCGUGUCUCUUCCUCCAAUUAUCCCAUCCAUAGCAUAUCACUAUGGCAUAUGUCUAAUGAAACCACACGAAAACAACCAUGGACUCAGCUUGGAGGUGCCUCAUGUGCCAUUUUGUUAAGUAGGACGUCAUGAUUUAGAAUAGUAUCCGACCAAGUGAGCUCAUAGUGUUUUGCAUUUAUCAAAUAGUCCAUGUAUUGUUGACAUUAAUGAGGUAUAUUUGUUCAUUGGGAGAGCGAUGUGCAUGAUGCAUCUCUUUUCUUUUUCUAAGGAUUAUUUCUUCCAAACAUUCCAAUCUUUACCUGUUUAAGGAUUCAAUCUCAUCUAAUAUUGUUAUGCCGUUGGUCCUCAAAUAUUUUAUCAUGCAAGUUUUGUGGCUACAACCAACCUAAAUGUCGGUGAAGAUAUGUUAUGGUUACCCAUCAAGUACUAACUAGCCUUCUGUUUCACCAUAUCCUAUAACUAUUGUUGAAUUAAUUUGUUGACAAAUGCCCAUCAUUUCUUGCAAAGAAUCAUGAUUAUUGAUCAUAUGAAAAAGUAGAAUAGCAGCUAGUUUGAUGCAAUUUAUAUGUUUCUGUAGUAAGUUUUAUUUCAGAAAGGAGGUGUGUGUUGGUACUCUUUAAUUGCAUCUAUUCUAACUGUUACUGCUCGCUGUUAAAGUUGCAAGCCAGGUAAAAAUUAGCUUUACACAACUACUUUUCGUACGUUUGAAAAUUAUUGUUACUCAAAGUACUGCUAGAUUGUAGUUACUAUGUAGAUGUCGCUCAGAAUUAUUUUUUCUUAACUGAUCACAUUGUACUACGUAUUUCUGGCACCUAUAUUUAUAUAUAUCAGUUUUGUACCUGGUUUUGUGAAGUGACGUGCAACAUAUCACACCCAAGAACAAUAUUUGUUCUGAAUUUUUAUCUUAGUCUAUCAAAUUCGACAUGCCCAAUAUCUCCAAUUCAAUUUCGAACACAUUAAAUCUAUAUAGUUAUUUUAAACUAUGAUAAAAGGAGUGGUGUUGGGAUGCAUCGAGUGGAUGGAAAAUGUUUAGAUAUAUACCUGACUUGAUAAGCUGUCCAAAGAACAACUAGUAAUUACAUGCAUGUAAAUCCAUUCAAUAUUUGUAUCGGAUAUACCAGAAAUAAAAUUGCAAUUUGUUUUUUCUACCAACUUUAACCUUUUUAGUUUUUAUUUAUGCUAAUUUCGAACAAUGACAUGGCGGCAUAUGCUUAAACGCCUUAAAAUGAAUAGUAAAUGAAACAUAUUUCAAUGUUUAUAUUUCGAAAUUAUGCCUGCAUAACAAGAUUAUGGUUGUCUAUUUAGAGGCACAAGUAAUUUAACAUUCAGCUUCCCCAUGUGUUGUAUUUUUUAUUGACUGGGUUUCCCCAUGUGUUCUAUUUUUUAUCGACUGGGUUUCCCCAUGUGUUCAUGAAAGGGCGAAACAACUAUAUUGAGAUUCAUUUGCAAUAAAACAAGCUAUGUGUUUCAGUGUUUUAAAUAGUAAACCUUGAUAGCUUAUUAUUGAAUCUUAGUAUUUGUCAAUCAUGCAGUUUAUUUAUAUACAACAAUUUUGUAAAAAUAAAGUUCACUGAUAUUUGUUCAAAUAACUAGCCCGGUCAGGUGCAUAGAUUGAUGACUAACUAGUUGUUUUAACAUGACCUUGAACUUUCUAUGUUUGGAUGAUAAAAUUUCACAUUUAUAGAACAUUUUUUUCUAAAUUGUAUAGAGUCUGCUUUUUUAUAUUCUGUUGCCCACGUUUUUAUGGUACCCUAAUAUGGUAGUGGUGUCCCUCCGAUGAUAGCUUGGAAAAGAAACUAAUAUUAUUACUCUAGAUUCAUAUGAGAGUUUGCUGUUAUAACUUGUUAUAACUUUGUACGUUUUUGGAUUCUAUGCAGGUUUGGCGGUUAGUCUAUGUUAGUUGGUUUUGUAUAGCUUCCUGGAGAAGUGGUGGUGAUGGAGACUAAAAUCAGCUAGUAGGAUAUUUUUUCAUGGAAGCCAUGUUACUAAAAAAAAUGCUCAUAGCGCUUCCUAGAUAUGCUUGUGUUUUGAUAUUAAGCUUUGUUUUUUGUAAUUAAACUAGAUUGUUGGAACUCUGUAUUGUCAUGUGAAUAAAUGUUAUUUU